rnacentral:rRNA from 1 species
UGAGGAAUAUUGCGCAAUGGGGGAAACCCUGACGCAGCGACGCCGCGUGAGUGAUGAAGGCCUUCGGGUUGUAAAGCUCUGUCAGAGGGAAAGAAAGGGGAUGCGGAAUAAUACCCGCAGCCAUUGACGGUACCCUCGGAGGAAGCACCGGCUAACUCCGUGCCAGCAGCCGCGGUAAUACGGAGGGUGCAAGUGUUAUUCGGAAUCACUGGGCGUAAAGAGCACGUAGGCGGAUGGGUAAGUCAGAUGUGAAAUCCCGGGGCUCAACUUCGGAACGGCUUUUGAUCCUGCCCGUCUUGAGUGUGGUGGAGGGGGAUGGA